rnacentral:lncRNA from 1 species
AUCUAGUCCCAAAGAUAUCUUUGGAUUAUCAACUGAAAACUCGCUGAAACUGAAACAGAGAACUGACAACUGGCGGUGCCGGAAAACUGGAACACUGUAGCUGCCGGAAAAGUACUGUAGCUGCCGGACAAAUUCAAAGUUGUCGGAAUUGAAAAAUAAAAAUAUAGAUAGGCUCGGAAUUCAAGGUUGAGCAAACAUCCUGAAGAAAUUCUGGCCGGGAAGUACUGUAACUGCCGGAAAAGUCAAUAAAGUCGCCGGAAAAAACUGAAAGUUGUCGGAAUCAAACGAAAAAAGGAUGGGUAGGGUCGGAAUUGAAGGCCGACCAAACUGUCCUGAAGGAGCGAACUGAAAAACUGGCCGGAAAUUCGGAAUUCAAGGUUGAGCAAACAUCCUGAAGAAAUUCUGGCCGGGAAGUACUGUAACUGCCGGAAAAGUCAAUAAAGUCGCCGGAAAAAACUGAAAGUUGUCGGAAUCGAACGAAAAAAGGACGGGUAGGGUCGGAAUUGAAAGGCGAGCAAACUGACCUGAAGGAGUCACUUGAAAAAAAUGGCCGGAAAAGGAGCCACACGCCGGCGCGUGGGCUCACGCGCCGAGGGUGUUGCCAGCGCGUGGGGGCGCGUGAAUGGUUCUUUUCUGGUGAUUUUCUGGGGUUGGUCGGAAUUCUCUUCCGAACCUCGUGG